rfam:Microbacterium sp. Root180 contig_1, whole genome shotgun sequence.
GGGCCUGUAGCGCAGUUGGUAGCGCGCCUCGUUCGCAUCGAGGAGGUCAGGGGUUCGAUUCCCCUCAGGUCCA